UUAUGGCCAUAUCAGGUUUAACCACCAGUUCCCAUGCGAUCACGGAAGGUAAGCAACUUUGAGCCUGGUCAGUUCCUAGAUGGGAGAUCGCUUGGGAAUAACAGGUGCUGUAAG